GGACGGGUGCAAGCGUUGUUCGGAAUUACUGGGCGUAAGAGCGUGUAGGCGGUUUGGCAAGUCAGAUGUGAAAGCCCUGGGGCUCAACCCAGGAAGUGCAUUUGAAACUGCCAUUCUAGAGUAUGGGAGAGGAGAGUGGAAUUCCCGGUGUAGAGGUGAAAUUCGUAGAUAUUGGGAGGAACACCCGUGGCGAAGGCGACUCUCUGGACCAAUACUGACGCUGAGACGCGAAAGCGUGGGGAGCAAACAGGAUUAGAUACCCUGGUAGUCCACGCCGUAAACGAUGAGAACUAGGUGUAGCGGGUAUUGACCCCUGCUGUGCCGUAGCUAACGCAUUAAGUUCUCCGCCUGGGGAGUACGGUCGCAAGGCUA
rnacentral:rRNA from 1 species